UACGGAGGUCUCAAGCGUUGUUCGGAUUCAUUGGGCGUAAAGGGUGCGUAGGCGGCGCGGUAAGUCGGGGGUGAAAUCUCGGGGCUUAACUCCGAAACUGCAUUCGAUACUGCCGUGCUUGAGGACUGGAGAGGAGACUGGAAUUUACGGUGUAGCGGUGAAAUGCGUAGAUAUCGUAAGGAAGACCAGUGGCGAAGGCGGGUCUCUGGACAGUUCCUGACGCUGAGGCACGAAGGCCAGGGGAGCAAACGGG
rnacentral:rRNA from 1 species